AACGCACAUUGCGCCCCUCGGUAUUCCGGGGGGCAUGCCUGUUCGAGCGUCAUUGCAACCCUCAAGCUUCGCUUGGUAUUGGGCUCUAGCCUCCUGGGCUUGCCCGAAAGUCAGUGGCGGUCCGGCGUGACUUCAAGCGUAGUAAAUUCUCUCCCGCUGUGGAGCUCGCGACGUGAUCGGCCAUCAACGCUUGAUUUUCCAAUGAUUGACCUCGGAUCAGGUAGGGAUACCCGCUGAACUUAA
rnacentral:misc_RNA from 1 species